rnacentral:rRNA from 1 species
UACAGGGGGUGCGAGCGUUGUUCGGAAUUACUGGGCGUAAAGAGCGUGUAGGCGGUCUAGCAAGUCAGAUGUGAAAUCCCGGAGCCUAACUCCGGAAGUGCAUUUGAAACUGCUAGGCUUGAGUGAUGUAGAGGUUGGCGGAAUACCCAGUGUAGAGGUGAAAUUCGUAGAUAUUGGGUAGAACACCGGUGGCGAAGGCGGCCAACUGGGCAUUAACUGACGCUGAGACGCGAAAGCGUGGGGAGCAAACAGG